rnacentral:rRNA from 1 species
UACGUAGGGUGCGAGCGUUGUCCGGAAUUAUUGGCGUAAAGAGCUUGUAGGCGGUUUGUCGCGUCUGCUGUGAAAUCCGGGCUCAACCCGGACUUGCAGUGGUACGGGCAGACUAGAGUGUGGUAGGGGAGACUGGAAUUCCUGGUGUAGCGGUGAAAUGCGCAGAUAUCAGGAGGAACACCGAUGGCGAAGGCAGGUCUCUGGGCCACUACUGACGCUGAGAAGCGAAAGCAUGGGGAGCGAACAGG